AUGAACGCUGGCGGCGUGCCUAAUACAUGCAAGUCGAGCGAACGGACGAGAAGCUUGCUUCUCUGAUGUUAGCGUCGGACGGGUGAGUAACACGUGGAUAACCUACCUAUAAGACUGGGAUAACUUCGGGAAACCGGAGCUAAUACCGGAUGAUAUUUUGAACCGCAUGGUUCAAAAGUGAAAGACGGUCUUGCUGUCACUUAUAGAUGGAUCCGCGCUGCAUUAGCUAGUUGGUAAGGUAACGGCUUACCAAGGCAACGAUGCAUAGCCGACCUGAGAGGGUGAUCGGCCACACUGGAACUGAGACACGGUCCAGACUCCUACGGGAGGCAGCAGUAGGGAAUCUUCCGCAAUGGGCGAAAGCCUGACGGAGCAACGCCGCGUGAGUGAUGAAGGUCUUCGGAUCGUAAAACUCUGUUAUUAGGGAAGAACAUAUGUGUAAGUAACUGUGCACAUCUUGACGGUACCUAAUCAGAAAGCCACGGCUAACUACGUG
rnacentral:rRNA from 1 species